UCUAUAGCCACUUAAUGAAUUACAAAUAUGCGAUCCACAAGCGGUAUCCAAUGUCCAAGUAUCAGAGUCUGAGCUACUCAAUAAAAAAUAGGUCUGUAUCAUAUAUACACCUUUUUGGUGCUAUACUUGCAUCUUGCUUCAAUUUUGUAAGAUUAUUCUUGUAUUCUCUCAAUAUCCAAAUUUACCACAAAAAAAUUUUUAUGGGGACUUCUUUUGCUUUCUUAUUAUUGCUGAC
rnacentral:lncRNA from 1 species